AUUGAACGCUGGCGGCAGGCCUAACACAUGCAAGUCGAAUGGUAACAGGAAACAGCUUGCUGUUUCGCUGACGAGUGGCGGACGGGUGAGUAAUGUCUGGGAAACUGCCUGAUGGAGGGGGAUAACUACUGGAAACGGUAGCUAAUACCGCAUAACGUCGCAAGACCAAAGUGGGGGACCUUCGGGCCUCUUGCCAUCAGAUGUGCCCAGAUGGGAUUAGCUAGUAGGUGGGGUAACGGCUCACCUAGGCGACGAUCCCUAGCUGGUCUGAGAGGAUGACCAGCCACACUGGAACUGAGACACGGUCCAGACUCCUACGGGAGGCAGCAGUGGGGAAUAUUGCACAAUGGGCGAAAGCCUGAUGCAGCAAUGCCGCGUGUAUGAAGAAGGCCUUCGGGUUGUAAAGUACUUUCAGCGGGGAGGAAGGGAGUAAAGUUAAUACCUUUGCUCAUUGACGUUACCCGCAGAAGAAGCACCGGCUAACUCCGUG
rnacentral:rRNA from 1 species